GUGAGGAAUAUUGGGCAAUAGACGCAAGUCUGACCCAGCCAUGCCGCGUGCAGGAUGACAGCCCUAUGGGUUGUAAACUGCUUUUGUACAGGAAGAAACCCCCGGUCGUGACCGGGGUUGACGGUACUGUGCGAAUAAGCAUCGGCUAACUCCGUGCCAGCAGCCGCGGUAAUACGGAGGAUGCAAGCGUUAUCCGGAUUCAUUGGGUUUAAAGGGUGUGUAGGCGGGACAAUAAGUCAGUGGUGAAAUCUUUCGGCUUAACCGGAAAACUGUCAUUGAUACUGUUGUUCUUGAGUUCAGUUGAGGUGGGCGGAAUGUGUAAUGUAGCGGUGAAAUGCAUAGAUAUUACACAGAACACCGAUUGCGAAGGCAGCUCACUAAACUGUUACUGACGCUGAGGCACGAAAGCGUGGGGAGCGAACAGGAUUAGAAACCCGUGUAGUCC
rnacentral:rRNA from 1 species